rnacentral:rRNA from 1 species
GACGAACGCUGGCGGCGUGCUUAACACAUGCAAGUCGAACGAUGAAGCUGGAGCUUGCUCCGGUGGAUUAGUGGCGAACGGGUGAGUAACACGUGAGCAAUCUGCCCUUGACUCUGGGAUAACUGCGGGAAACUGUAGCUAAUACCGGAUACUUACACUGGAAGGCAUCUUCUGGUGAAGAAAGAAUUUCGGUCAAGGAUGAGCUCGCGGCCUAUCAGCUUGUUGGUGAGGUAACGGCUCACCAAGGCGACGACGGGUAGCCGGCCUGAGAGGGUGACCGGCCACACUGGGACUGAGACACGGCCCAGACUCCUACGGGAGGCAGCAGUGGGGAAUAUUGCACAAUGGGCGCAAGCCUGAUGCAGCAACGCCGCGUGAGGGAUGAAGGCCUUCGGGUUGUAAACCUCUUUUAGCAGGGAAGAGGCGAAAGUGACGGUACCUGCAGAAAAAGCACCGGCUAACUACGUGCCAGCCGCCGCAGUAA